UACAGAGGGUGCAAGCGUUGUUCGGAAUUACUGGGCGUAAAGCGCGCGCAGGCGGAUCCUGCAAGUCCGGAGUGAAAUCUCACUGCUCAACGGUGGGGCUGCUUUGGAUACUGCGGAUCUGGAGACCGGUAGAGGCUGGUAGAAUUGCAGGUGUAGCGGUGGAAUGCGUAGAGAUGUGGAGGAACACCGAUGGCGAAGGCAGCCUCCUGGGCCAGCACUGACGCUCAUGCACGAAAGCGUGGGGAGCAAACAGG
rnacentral:rRNA from 1 species